AUGACGUCAAAAUAGCCACCAGGAAAAGUUAACUCUUUCCUGGAUAGGUAUGUUUAGUGGGACAAGACUGCCCUCUACAGACCAAAUAACUAAUUUGCGAUCUGGAAGAUAACCACACCUCUAGUGCUUCUAUUGGGUUAUCAACUGAUGACGUACAGAGAGUCUGGCCCUUUAAAAGUUAAGACAAAGGGAAGAUAGAGACAGGAAAGGUAUGCAAGAGAUGCAAAGGAGAG